rnacentral:rRNA from 1 species
AAUACGUAGGUGGCAAGCGUUGUCCGGAAUCACUGGGCGUAAAGCGCGCGCAGGCGGCGAUCUACGUCUGGGGUGAAAGCCCGGAGCUCAACUCCGGGACUGCCUUGGAUACGGGAUCGCUUGAGGAUUGGAGAGGCAAGGGGAAUUCCACGUGUAGCGGUGAAAUGCGUAGAUAUGUGGAGGAACACCUGUGGCGAAGGCGCCUUGCUGGCCAAUUUCUGACGCUGAGGCGCGAAAGCGUGGGGAGCAAACAG